AUACGGAAGGUCCGGGCGUUAUCCGGAUUUAUUGGGUUUAAAGGGAGCGCAGGCGGAGAUGCAAGCGUGACGUCAAAUUUCGGGGCUCAACCCCGUCUCGCGUCGCGAACUGCGUCCCUUGGUUGCGGGAAGGGGAGGCGGAACUCGUGGUGUAGCGGUGAAAUGCAUAGAUAUCACGAAGAACUCCGAUCGCGAAGGCAGCCUUCCGGCCCGUCAACGACGCUCAUGCUCGAAGGUGCGGGUAUCAAACAGAAUUAGAUACCCUGGUAGUCCGCACAGUAAACGAUGGACACCCGCGGUUUGGCCUAUAUGGCUGAGCCGCCAAGCGAAAGCGUUAAGUGUCCCACCUGGGGAGUACGCCGGCAACGGUGAAACUCAAAGGAAUUGGCGGGG
rnacentral:rRNA from 1 species